rnacentral:rRNA from 1 species
GACGAACGCUGGCGGCGUGCUUAACACAUGCAAGUCGAACGGAAAGGCCCUGCUUGCCGGGUACUCGAGUGGCGAACGGGUGAGUAACACGUGGGUGAUCUGCCCUGCACUUCGGGAUAAGCCUGGGAAACUGGGUCUAAUACCGGAUAGGAGCCAUUUUUAGUGUGAUGGUUGGAAAGUUUUUUCGGUGUAGGAUGAGCUCGCGGCCUAUCAGCUUGUUGGUGGGGUAAUGGCCUACCAAGGCGGCGACGGGUAGCCGGCCUGAGAGGGUGGACGGCCACAUUGGGACUGAGAUACGGCCCAGACGCCGACGGGAGGCAGCAGUGGGGAAUAUUGCACAAUGGGCGCAAGCCUGAUGCAGCGACGCCGCGUGGGGGAUGACGGCCUUCGGGUUGUAAACUCCUUUCGCUAGGGACGAAGCUUUUUGUGACGGUACCUAGAUAAGAAGCACCGGGUAACUACGUG